GACAUCUCCUAACUGGUAUUUCGUUUGGCAGGCGUUGAGCCACUGCCACAGCCCGGAUUUUCCUGCAGGCAGAGCCCGGCCUUGUUUUGACAGUCAUUUCUGCUGCUUUCUGCUUCUGCCUGGAAGGAUCACACAGUUGCAGAGGUCUGGGGAGGGAUGCACUUGGGGAGAUUCAAAUUGUCAAAGGAAGCUUCCAUCAAAACAAUUAGGAGACCUCAGACUGUUGUCUUCUGGAAACUUCCUUCGACCAGCAACAGUUUCCCACCCACCAUGCCACUCCCAACAUCCAAAUGGUUUCCAAAGCUGCAGUCAGGCUAGUACAAAUGGGGCUUCUGUCACUUGAAACCGAAAGAGUCCUAGGAAUGUCACCUGACUCCCUUUCACUCACUGUGAGCUGUGGAAUCCCUGUGACUGCACUCCGUCAGCUUCUUGUUUACAGAAUCAAGAAAAGUUCUUGAAAGCUACCAUUUUGAAGAGAGAUGUGAAGGGAAGACACUUUCACUUUCCACUUGUCUAUAUUGCCUGAAUCUCAUAACCUGGUUGAGAAGGAUGCCCUAGACUCCGCUGCCUCCCCUUGGUGACCCCAGCCCACAUGAUUACAUAUCUUCUACUUCUAAGAAGGAGCCAGGACCCGCUAUGCCCCAUGUAACAUGUAACAGCCAGGCUAGACCAUCUGGAGAGUUCCAGACCCAUCCAGAAGGAAUUUUUACUGGUGAGCCCAUUGGUUGUCAGAUGGGUCCUCAUUCCAGACUCCAUGCAGUUCACCCAGGGAGUACCUGAGAACAUCCAAGCGUACCCCAUGGGACGAGAGCUACACACAGUCUCUUCAUGAAAUAAAGCAAACAAGUAGCUCCACAACUUUUUGAAGCUCUAACAAGAUCUCUCUGGUGAAACACAAAAUACUUCAGAAGACUGAGUAGAAGACAAAAAUACUCAUUCAUUCAUUCAUUUUUGGAGUUCAGGAGCAAUGGAUUGAGUUAAUUAUACUCCUCAGCUCAUGGAGCAUUGUCACCACUGGCCUGGUUUCCAGCAUGACACCUCCCAGCGUCAUCCCAAAGCAUCUGAUUCACACCUCCCAGCAGCAGCCAUGCCUCAGUACCAAGCACUCCUCUAACUCUGCUCUCAUACAACUGCAGAUACUGGGAGUCUUCUGCUCUGCUCUGCCAGUCGUCCCUGCCGUUUCAGCAGCUGAGUCUGUCCUCAAGCCCUGUCCUUCACUGGUCUUGGACAAUUUCAGCUGGGUUGCCCUGCUACUGACCAGCACCAGCCUUCACACUGCCGUACCUUGUUUUCUUCCUCCAGCCCUCUUUCCUCUAGCGUCUCCUAAAUGUGAACCGUUUCCAUGUUCUGUUCUAUGCUAAGCCCACCUCUUUUCUUUGUGAAGAGUUUCCACCAAAAAUUUCACCAGAUCCCAUUAUUUCAAAUAUCAUUUCCUUGCCAGUGCCUCCUAAACCGGCAUUCUGCCCUGACCUCACUCCCAAGCCCCAGCUCUGCUUUUUUUUUCUUUUCUUUUUGCCUCCUAGAGUGAUUUUCUAGGGACACAGAUCAGUAUCUCCAAAAGGAAGCUUACAGACCAUUCAUUCUCCACUCUCGUCAUCUUCAUUUCUAGUAAGUUUCCUGCAUUGUCUCUGCUCUUAUCCAUUCAUUCACCAAACAUCUGCUGAGCACACACAUUCUAUAAGCCCAGGGAGAGGCUCUACUUGGUCCCCCUCCUGUUCCUCACAGCCUGUCUGCCACCAAGUCCUGCUGCAUCCAGCCCCUCCUUUCAGAAUACACCUCCUAAUCUUGGAUCAUUCCAUUCUUUUACAAGGAAUGUUGUCCACAGGUGCAAACAAAAUAAUUUCAGCUCUCCCUUUUGAAACAGAAAAUUUGAAGUUAGAAAUAUGAGUCUUUGCUGAAGAAGGAAAUUACCUUUAAAUUAAAAGGAAAUCAUGAGAUAAGUCACUUAAACAGAAAAGUGCCUUAUUUAUUUGGAUGCUGUGCCCUAAAGUUUCUUUAUCUUACUUUCAAGGAAGCUAGAUAUACGACCCAGUGAAUUACAGAGCUUUGUUUAGCCAAGUAAGCAGUUUGAAACAGAGGACUUUAAAUCAGAUUAAAUGCUUUAUUCACCGUCAUGAGUGACAGAUUUUCCUCUUUGUAGCUUUCCCCCAUUCAGUGCCAAGUGAUAAAGACUGUCUUCCUAGCAAGUUGUUCUUUAUGAGUGCAUGUUUACCUGCCUGAAUCAAUAAUCAUAUUGCUACAGAUAUAAAGAUUCAUGAGACAUGCUUUAGAUAACCAUGAAAAGUCAUAAAAGAUAAUUUACUAAUUUUAUAGCUAUCUUCUCUUCACCUCUAUCUGAACUUAAAAUAAACCUACUGCACAUUUUUUGCUUUUUCUUGCCAGGGCUAAUACCUUUAUCCUUUUAUUCACUAAAAUCUUCAAUAUGAUUUCUAGCAUUUGAAACUGCCCCCUUUACUCUCUUCACUGUGCUCGAGUGCUACUAAAAGUCUUCUGCUUGUUGUUGUGGGCUGAAUGGUGUUCCCUAAAAAUCUACGUUGAAUCCCUAACUCCCAGUACCUGUGAAUGUGAACUUACUUGGAAGAAGGGUCUUUGCAGUUGUCAUCAAGCUAAAACGAGGUCAUGCUGGAUUAGGGUGGGCCUAAUCCAGAGACUGGUGUCUUUAUGAGAGAAAAGAGAAGAGAGUGAUUUGGACACAGAGACACCGGGGAGAACGCCAGACGAUGGCAGAGGCAGAAGCUAGACCAAGGCAUCUGCAAACAGAAAAAGCUCCAAGGGUGGCUGGUAGCCACCAGAACCUGGGAGAAGCAAGGAAGGAUCCUCCAUGAAAGCAUCAGAGGGAGUGUGGCACAGCUGACGUCUUGAUCAUGGACCUUAGGCCUCCAGCACUGUGAGACAAUCCAUGUCUGUUGUUUUAAGCCACCACCACUCUCCCCCCAUCCCCCGCCCCGUGUGUGGUCAUUUAUUAUAAGAGCUCUGGGAAACUAAUAUGGUUACUGAAUUAACUGAUAAACUAACCUAAAGUACACCACGGAGUGUUCUUGGAUACUUCGACACACCCUGCCCCAGCUCUCCAAAUCCUACCUGACUUACCACACUCAGCGUGAGACCUGCCAUUUUCCUGACAGUCAUCCAAGUUUGCCUAGGAUUCUGGACAAUCACGGAUUUGUCAGUUUGAAUCAUUCCUUUGAUCCCUCAAACAUAGAUGAGAAUGGUGAUUCCAAGCUGAUGCCACUUUUCCUUGGCAGUGAGAAAAGCUAUCCCCUCCCCUUGACCACCCCAGAGGGUGGGGACCAUGCCCCAGGGCCAGGAAGCAGCAUUUUGCAGAGGGCCUAGGGCUAUAAGCUGUCCUCCUAGCCUGUGGUUCUGUUGUCCUUCCCUCUAGUAGCACAAUGUUGUGGCUUCCUCAUGAGUCCACAGACAAGAGGACCAGGGUUGGAGCAGCAAGUCUGGGGAGAAUGCUUGCAGAAGGGUUUUGGGGGAAGUGGGGAUGUGGCCCAGGGAGACUGCUGCUGGGCAAAGCGCCCUAGCAGUGCAGCAGGCCUCAUGUGAAGUGGGCCAGGAAAAGGUGCUGUGUGCUGUGUCAGGGUGAUAACUGAGGGACAGGGAGCUCUUGGUAUUUGUUGGGGGAAAAAAAUCCUGCAUCUCACACUGUUUUGGUGGUUUUCUCUACCUCACAUUAAUACAAUCUACUCCUGGCCUGAAACCAUCAUUAUUGAAAUAAGUGCUGGGCUGCGGAGCAGAAAGAAUGAGUUUGCAUCUAACUACUCUGAGCUUUAGAGAUUCUCCCUAGAAAAUGAUCGUUGACCUGUUCUUUCUGCAUCCAGAAACCGUGCAUGCGAAACCAGACACUGCAGGUGAAAAACGCUUUGUAGGUGUCAGAUGCUAUACGCGGUUUGCUGUUAUUUAUGAUCGGGGUUGUUAUCCAUCUGUUAAUCAGUAGAAGCUCCUCAAAAGCAGGAAUGGUUUGUUAGGGGUGCUGUGUGGGCCCUGGCACUCAGUACAGAUAGACAAAGCUGCACAAAUGCUGAAUUUUGCUCAAGGAUCAAUGUCCCCAACUCCCAUCACACAGCCUCUCACCUGCCUACCAGCUGAACCUUCUCUUUCUGCCCUUGGCCCCUCUUCUCAGCAAGCUUUGCCCCAGCAGAGUUCAGCCCUCUGAGGACAGCAACACAGGACGUAGGCUCGCCAGGGGCCACCCACUCACUAAAGGACCUUGGGCAAGCCUCAACCGUCCUCUUCUUUAUUUUAUUCGCCCAUUCCAUGAGGGGACAGGCAGAAAUGCCCGCCCAGGGUGAGGGUUGGUGUAGGCAGUGUCAGGGAAUAUUCAUUCUUCCAGACAGAUGCUUCAGAGUUUCUGACCUCGUCAUGGGCCAAUCAGUGUUUUCUAGUUCCCUGGAGCGUCAACCCUCUACAGGCAUCUUGCCAACUGGCCCCAUGUGGCAAAUAAAAAGCAUGUGUGCAACCCUGGCCUGAUUCUUCCAGCUACCCUGGCUUUGUUAAGGUAGAACAAUGGGAUAACGAUGCCAAGUUAAAAGAUCUCAAUUGAAAAAUGCAACACCCUCCCAGUCAUGCACUGUAGUUGAAUGAACGCAUAUACAU